GUUGGGAGUUGAUAUCACUCUCCUGACGAGGCUAUGAUAAGCCGAAAC
rnacentral:hammerhead_ribozyme from 15 species